rnacentral:rRNA from 1 species
UACGUAGGGGGCAAGCGUUGUCCGGAUUCAUUGGGCGUAAAGGGUGCGUAGGCGGCGCGGUAAGUCGGGUGUGAAAUCUCGGAGCUUAACUCCGAAACUGCAUUCGAUACUGCCGUGCUUGAGGACUGGAGAGGAGACUGGAAUUUACGGUGUAGCGGUGAAAUGCGUAGAUAUCGUAAGGAAGACCAGUGGCGAAGGCGGGUCUCUGGACAGUUCCUGACGCUGAGGCCCGAAGGUCAGGGGAGCAAACGGG